UGCGGUCGCAGCNACNGCAAUGAUACAUCGGAACGUGCCCUGUAGUGGGGGAUAACUAGUCGAAAGAACUAACUAAUACCGCAUACGACCUGGAGGGUGAAAGUGGGGGACCGCAAGGCCUCAUGCUAUAGGAGCGGCCGAUGUCUGAUUAGCUAGUUGGUGGGGUAAAGGCCUACCAAGGCGACUAUCAGUAGCUGGUUCUGAGAGGACGAUCAGCCACACUGGGUACUGAGACACGGCCCAU
rnacentral:rRNA from 1 species